GCAAGUCGAGGGGCAGCGGGACACUUCGGUGUUGCCGGCGACCGGCGGACGGGUGCGUAAUGCGCAUGCAAUCUACUUUACACUGGGGAAUAGCCUCCGGAAACGGGAAUUAAUACCCCAUAUAAUCUUAUUAGCGCAUGUUAAAAAGAUGAAAGCUCCGGCGGUGUAAAAUGAGCGUGCGUCCUAUUAGCUAGUUGGUGAGGUAAUGGCUCACCAAGGCUACGAUGGGUAGGGGUUCUUAGUGGAAGGUCCCCCACACUGGCACUGAGAUACGGGCCAGACUCCUACGGGAGGCAGCAGUAGGGAAUAUUGGUCAAUGGGCGCAAGCCUGAACCAGCCAUGCCGCGUGCAGGAUGAAGGCUCUCUGAGUUGUAAACUGCUUUUGUACAGGAGCAAAAAAAUCCCUGCGGGGGUUCUUGAGAGUACUGUAAGAAUAAGCACCGGCUAAUUCCGU
rnacentral:rRNA from 1 species